rnacentral:rRNA from 1 species
AUUGAACGCUGGCGGCAGGCCUAACACAUGCAAGUCGAGCGGCAGCGGGAAAGUAGCUUGCUACUUUUGCCGGCGAGCGGCGGACGGGUGAGUAAUGCCUGGGAAAUUGCCCAGUCGAGGGGGAUAACAGUUGGAAACGACUGCUAAUACCGCAUACGCCCUACGGGGGAAAGCAGGGGACCUUCGGGCCUUGCGCGAUUGGAUAUGCCCAGGUGGGAUUAGCUAGUUGGUGAGGUAAUGGCUCACCAAGGCGACGGUCCCUAGCUGGUCUGAGAGGAUGAUAGGCCACACGGGAAAUGAGACACGGUCCAGACUCCUACGGGAGGCAGCAGUGGGGAAUAUUGCACAAUGGGGGAAACCCUGAUGCAGCCAUGCCGCGUGUGUGAAGAAGGCCUUCGGGUUGUAAAGCACUUUCAGCGAGGAGGAAAGGUUGAUGCCUAAUACGUAUCAACUGUGACGUUACUCGCAGAAGAAGCACCGGCUAACUCCGUGCCAGCAGCCGCCGUAA